UACGUAGGGAGCAAGCGUUGUCCGGAUUUAUUGGGCGUAAAGCGCUCGUAGGCGGCUUGGUAAGUCGGGUGUGAAACCUCCAGGCUCAACCUGGAGUCGCCAUCCGAUACUGCCAUGGCUUGAGUUCGGUAGGGGACCACGGAAUUCCUGGUGUAGCGGUGAAAUGCACAGAUAUCAGGAGGAACACCGGUGGCGAAGGUGGUGGUCUGGGCCGAUACUGACGCUGAGGAGCGAAAGCGUGGGGAGCAAACAGG
rnacentral:misc_RNA from 1 species